AGGAAGGCAACAGUUUGAAGCUCUCAUCAGAAAUUGCCCUCAUUCUCAUCAGAGAGCUGACCUUGUUUUCGUAAACCAUUGCUUGUGUUGCAGCUGGUUUAAUAGUUUUUUCCACUCCAAAAGCUUUGAUGAAACUCUAUUUUCAUCUCGGUUAAGAUAUUUGCAUCAAGGGACCAAAAGAGAAGCUGAACUCAACUGUUAUAAGCUAGAUUCGUACUAAGUUGGGUGGAAUCUUUGAAUCCCUUCCCCCUGAGGAGAAGGCCGAAUAUGGGAUGGUUAUCAAAAAGAAAAAUUCGAAAGAUGACGAGACGUUCCACUGCAAGUGCAAUCCUGAAAGGGUUGUGGCUUUAGGAAGAAUAUUGAGUCCUUAGCAAAACAAGACAGUGAGGAAUAUUGGAUUUGGUGCAAUGUUGGAUUUGAAGAUGGACUGUGUGAAGAGCAAGUUAGAUAGGUGGUUAGUUGAUCAGAUUGAUGAUGGUGGGAGGGUGCUUAUUGUGGGUACCACGAUCAUAGAGUUGAAGUUGUGUCUUUUCGAGCAUGUUAUGGGGAUUAGGGAUGGCGGUACCUCUAUCAAACUACCUGAGAAGAAUCACUACAACCCUUACCAUGAUUUGAUUUUCAACAUGCAUAAGAAAUCCACUACCAUUGAUGACUUGGAGAAAUUAAUUGAACGGAGCAAUAUAGUAGACUAGCUCUUUCUCAUGUGUUACAUAUUGUUCGUAAUUACGACCGUUCUUUUUCUAACGUCGGGAAUUCAUGUUAAGAAAGCAUACCUAUCCAUUGUCUACAAUGUGGAGUCUAUUACGAAUUUCAAUUGGGCGACACACCCCUCAACUUUCUCUGUGAGCAGAUUCAACGUUUGAAGCGGGAGAGAUUCAUUACAUGCCCGGUUGUUCGCUCUUCCUGCAGUUAAUGUUCAUAGAUAGAGCUUUGUGGCCUCGUGGGCAGAUAGAUAGGAGUAUCCCCCGAUUGCACUUUGGGAUAAGACCACUAUGAGGAAAUUUGCGCUUUUCAUCGACCGUAAAGGAGGUUAUGAGAUUACCGAGGUGAGUGUCCAAAGGCAGUCAUAUAUAUAAAUAAAUUUAUUUAUCUCCUUCAUUGUUUUGAAUUGUGGAGCUGCAAAUUUCGAAUUUUCCUUUUCAUUCUUUAACAUCUAGACCAUAUUUUCUUUUCAUUAGCAUAUUAAGAUUGCAUUUGCACAACUCAAAUGCAGAAAUUGUUGUUUUCUUCUUUCUGAUUCUAAAGCCAUGAACAAGUCAUUUUUUAAGUUUCAUGUUUGUCAUUACAUGAAUCAAAUAACAAGUCAUUUAUGUUAACUUGUAUUAUAUAAAAAUAUACAUUACAAUCUCAUAUUCUUAAUUUUUUUUA